ACGAGGGCUGAGCAGCGGAGAGAGGAGGGAGGGAGCCAUUUCUCUCCGCUGGCUGCAACCUCCGUGCUCACAGCUCGCAUUUCCCUGGAAUCCAGAGGCCUCCCGGCCAAAGGACUCCAUCAUGCUGGAUAUCUUCAUCCUGAUGUUCUUUGCCAUCAUCGGCCUGGUCAUCCUCUCCUACAUUAUCUAUCUGCUGUAGUGGCCUGCAGCUGCGGCGGAGCCCGCAGCACAGCUCAGCGGCGAAGGAUGAAGCUGACUAGUCGGCCGAGCCUCCUGCUUGCUGACUCACCGGUGGAUUUUUGCUUCUGGUCAUUAUUUCGGCUCCCGCUCGCCCGGCCGACAGGAUGCCUGUAUGAACAGCAGCAGACCCGCCGCCCAGCAGACCUCCUCCAGAGCCUCCCGGAUACGGUUAGCCCCUGUCAAGCAAGGGGCUAUUCCGGCUCAGAGGCUGAGGCACGAGGCUGGGACCUCAGGAACUCAUGGGCACGGCUGGCAGGUGCUGCGUCCGUUCGAGCUGUAAGUGGAGGGUGCGGAGAAAGAACACAGAGAACUGAAAUGUAGACUCGUUACAAUUAUCAUGAAGAACUUCUCAAAAUUCAUUUUGAUAGCCUUUCCUUAAGUCGUUCCUUUCCCUCGGAGGCGUUUUUUUUUUUUUAAGUCCAAGAGCACAUUGCCUCUCUCGCGGUGGCCACUUUAUCGCUCUGUCUUUAUGGCCUGCACGCGUACUACGGGGUUAUGUGUUUUCCUUGUCUUUGUCUCUAGCCCAAAGCAACUUGUCAUCUGAAUUUUUAAGAUUUAUUUUUCCUUCUCCCUGCCACUUGUGCUCCGGCUUCCCAUUUAAAGAGAGAAACAGUUAUAUAGUCCUCAUUCUCUGUGCCUGCUGAGUUAUAAAUUAUUGAAACAAGAUGGCUAUACCUAUCUUGUUAUUUGGGGAAAAAAUCUGUUACCCAAAAAAUAAAUGCUUUUCAAAUUGUUGAAUGUUCCUUUUAUGGAAAAAAAUAAUAAUUUCAACAUAUUUUCUGUCCAAUAAAGGUUGAAGAAACCUUAUAUACUAAGGUUGAAGAAACAUAUAUUUGGGAGUCCAGAGGAGACUUGGGCCCCAAACCUGUGGUAUCUCUCCCUUUGAAAAAUCCAUCAUAAUUGUUGUACAUUUGAUUUUCUAGCUUAAAAAUAAACAAGAAAGAUGAACUUAAUAGUUUUUAUUCAUAACAUGGUGUUCAAUUCCCAUGUUUAAAAAAGAAAUAAAAUUAAGACAGUGUAAUAUAAUGUCACAAAAUGAAAACCCUGCAUUUUAGAAUUCUGGCCAAUGAAAGACACUGUUCUAGAAGCUUUGUCUUGGCAACAAAUUGCAUGACCUUCAAUAAGUCAUUGACCCUUUCGGGGUUUCAUUUUAUUCUGACAAAUGAGAGGGACGGACUAGAAAAUUGUUAAUAUCUUUUUCCAUUUUAAAAUUCUACAAUUCUAAGAUGUGUUAUCUUUGGAAACAACAUCUUUGAGAAGAGAAAUCCCAUGGAGAAGCAACUCUUAAGAGUUACCUGUAGUCCACUUUUCUGCUCUCCCCAAAUGAUAUUUUAUGAUGAAAACUCAACUGCACAAUUCUUUUUUUUGGCACAUUGUGAGGAGAAAACGACUGUUUACCCCAAACAUGUAUCAGUGAUACUUUGUCUAAGCUGUUAAGGGAAUGUGAAUAAGUACAGUGCUACAUGGUGGUAUGCAAUAAAAAGAGGUAAUCUGACAGAUACACUAAUUCAAAAAGCAUGGCUGUAAGCAUCAAUACAGUCGGGGGUAUCUUCAGUUAUCUGUGAGGCCUUGACAGGACAUUUCCCAGUAAAACGUUCCUCUGACUCUUUGGCAUAGCUUUGUGUUUCAAACUAAAAUUUCCUUCUUCGAGUCAAGACAGCGGCUCUAGGUCCUUACCUAGGUAAUUAGGGCAAGUGGCAGUACUUUGAACGGGUCCAAGCAACAGAGUAAAUUAUUGUGGUUUAGGUCUUCAUGGUAUAGUUUCUAACUAAGCUUGCUCUGAAGUCUGUUAUGAGGUCAAAGCUCUUCGGUCUGUAUCCACACAAAGUUGAAACAGCUAAUCAAUUCAGCCGAUUUCAGUUAUACACCGGUGAUAUGUCCCACUGGCACUGGGCACAAUAUAAGAACAGAAAGGUUACCUAUAUUUUUAGUUACUUGUGAAAUAAUUAUAUUUUGGAAGAAAUUUUAUGACUUUGUGCCUAUGUCCAUGCUAUGAUAUGCCACUUUGUAACUGUUUUACAGUGUUCAUCAUUUUGGUAAUAGUUUUUAAAAUCUCACGUUUAAACUAUUGUUUUUUUUAAAGAUUUUAUUCAUUUAUCUUUAGAAAGAAGGGAAGGAAGGGAGAAAGAGAGGGAGAGAAACAUCAGUGUGUGGUUGCCUCUUGCGUGCCCCACACUGGGGACCUGGCCCUCAACCCUGGCAUGUGCCCUGACUGGGAAUCGAACCAGUGACCCUUUGGUUCACAGGCCGACAUUCAAUCCACUGGGCCACAUGCCCUAGUGGCAUCUUAAAACAUAGUAAAACACUGGGAAAAGUUACUUCUCUAAUAUGAGGUUUUGUAUACAGUUUUCAAGUCUGUGUUAUAGGGCAAUGGUGUCCUGUGAAAUGGGGAUUGUACUUGGCCUACAUCGAUGUAGUAAAAACAUCUCUAAAUAGUUGUAGAUUACUUACAAAAAGAUAAUGUGGCAUAAUACUAUGAAUCACUUCACUAAUACGUGCUUUCCUGAUUAAAAACAAGGGACUUGUAUGGAAAAGUGACGUAUUUUAUUUCAGGAGAAAGGGGAUAUAUUUUGGGAAACAGUUAAAUAUUGGAAAGAUAAAUGUCACUAAUUAGAAUCACCUAAGAUUCAUUGCUCCAGGUGCAUGGAAUCAGAUCCAAACUUCUGAGUCUGAAUCCUGGCAUGACAUAAUUUAUUAAGUUCCAGAAAAUUUGUCUGCUGUUAAAAAGCUUAAAAUGAGCAUUAUUCAAACUUCCGAAUCCCUUAGAUUGAUACUUUAGAUCCCUUAAAAUGAUACUCUUGGAAAAGAAUAUCAUUUUAAAUUACUCAAAAAUAAUGGGAAUUUCUCUUAACAAACUACAAAAGUACAGUUGAAGUGGAAAACUAAAUUACAUACUUUGCCUUUAUCCACCUCCAAAUGUUUGCUAAGCCUAGCAUGGCCUGUUCUAAGUUAGUUUUACUCCCAUCUAUUAUAAACAAAAUCAAACAAAAAGUCACCGACACAACUUUCAUUGUAAACUCAAAUAUAUACUAAGGAAGAUACAUUUAGAAAUAGUUAACAACUUCUUUGUUCUUAGAAAAAUACUGUAAGAUCUUGUAGUCAUGGGAAAUAGCAGGUAAUAUACAAUACCUAAUUAUGUAUUUGUUUUUUGACACUGGUGUGAAACUAUAAUUGUAGCAUAUCUAUUUUAGCAGCAAUUGAAAUAUUAAUCAGUUAGGAAUUUGGUCUUUGAAUUUGGUAGAAUAGUAUGAAAUACUGUUCUACUUACAGAUGAUUACACAAUUUGUGAGUCAUUGCAAGUAAAUGAAAUUAUUUGAUUAAUCCAUAUACUAUAUUGUUAAUCAUAAAUAUGCAUAUAUAAGUAUAUAGCUAAUUGCAACAUUAUUUUAUAUUAAUACAUUUUAUAUGUUGAUCAUUGUUAAAGCUAUAAUUAACAGCUUAAAUAAAAAUAAGUUCCUCUGCAAGAAAUAAUUUAAAGGAAUUACACAUUCAGUGACUUGCAUAAUGACAAACUCUGGACAAGUUAGACAUGUUUCUAAUUUUAAUUUUAUUUUAUUAAUAUAAAUAAAUAACAACUUAAAUAAAGUUAGAAAAUAUUAAAUAUUUAAGUAUCAAAGAUAUUUUACCAUAAACACAAUACUUUAAAAAAUAACAAUAUAUGUUUCUCAAUUUUGUGCACCUUGAAGAAAGCAGUGAUCUUAGAAAUGCCUCCAAGUAGUUUUUCUUCAUUUAAAAGGCUUUCAAGGUUUACACUAAGCUUUCUAAAAGUAUAGUUACUUGAGGAAUUUUCUGCAGUUAUAUUUGCUUUCUUGAU